GACGAACGCUGGCGGUGUGCUUCACACAUGCAAGUCGAACGAGGUAGCAAUACCUAGUGGCGGACGGGUGAGUAAUGCGUGGGAAUCUGCCUUUAGAUGGGGGAUAACGGGUCGAAAGACUCGCUAAUACCGCAUAUGACGAAAGUUGAAAGGAGUAAUCCGUCUAAAGAUGAGCCCGCGUCCGAUUAGCUAGUUGGUAGAGUAAAAGCCUACCAAGGCGACGAUCGGUAGCUGGUCUGAGAGGAUGAUCAGCCACAAUGGGAACUAGAGACACGGCCCAUACUCCUACGGAGGCAGCAGUGGGAAUUUUACGCAAUGGCGAAAGCCUGACGUAGCGACACCGCGUGAGCGAAGAAGCCCCUGGGGUGUAAAGCUCUGUCAGCUGGAACGAAAAAAAUGACGGUACCAGCAGAGGAAGCAUCGGCUAACUACGUGCCAGCAG
rnacentral:rRNA from 1 species